rnacentral:guide_RNA from 1 species
AGAUCACAAAACAAUCUAUCAAUAGCAGUGACGUAUAUGUGUAAUGUGAUCUUAUACUUAU